AAUUAAUCUUUUGAACAUCAAGUACGAUUUUCUGGACUUAGAAAAGAAAUUUUUUUUUUAACAUUUUUGAUGUGGCAUGCCGGAUCCGGCCAUAACUUCUGGGCUGGGUUUGGGGUGCUACAAUAUAAGUCUUUGGUCGCUCGUUUUCAACAAGUUAAGGAAGGGGAAACUUCUGAGUUUGAGAGCCAGAAGAGACGAUGCAACAGCAAUACCCUCAUCUAUUUGGAUUAGGUAAAUUUCGAGGACGAAAUUUCUUUAAGGAGGGUAGAGUUGUAACGCCCCAAUUUUCUGGAAUUCUGUGAAUGUUGACAAAAUUUCAUGCUUUGAUUUUGUCAUUUGUGAGUGAAAUUAUGAAAUAGGACCUAUGUGAAAAUGUUUGAAAAUGCUAUAGGCUAAAUUGAAGUGGCCAAAUAAAUAGGAGUGCAAAAUAGGAGGAUUUGCAUGAUAAACCUCCCAUUUUACAUGAAGUGGCCAACCAUCAUGUUGUUGUAGACAAAAUGUACACUUGAUAUCCAUAAUUUAUGGUACAAAUUGAUACAAAUUGAUAAUAGGUUAGGUAAAUGUUCCAUGAUAAUGGGUUAGGUAAAUGUUUCAUGAUAAUAGGUUAGGUAAAUGUUCCAUGAUAAUGGGUUAGGUAAAUGUUUCAUGAUAAUGGGUUAGGUAAAUGUUUCAUGAUAAGAAUAUCAUGUAUUUUGUAUUAAAGAAUUAAAUGGAUGAAAUAUGAAGUUUUAUUAAAAGAAAAAGGGGUGAAAAGAACAAAGUUUUGUCCAUAUUUGUUCAUCAUAGCUGAAAGUUAGAGAAGAGAAAGGAGAGGAGAAAGCUCUUGAGUAUUCGGUCAUUAAUAGGAGGAAAAUUGAAGGCAGUUCGUGUGUGGAUCUCGUCAGCAUAUCGUCGCAAACAGGUGUGUAACUAACACCCUCUUUCUUAGUCUGGAUCGGCAAAAGUCGAAAAGCUGAAAUACCGAAAACAGGUAUUUUGUAGAUUUGCGAGUGUGCGAAUGCUCGUGAGGUAAAUCGAUUAAUGUUUUUGGUAAACUGCAAAGUG